rnacentral:rRNA from 1 species
GUCCUCUUGUUAUAUGUAUGAGGUCUGACCUGCCCGGUGAAAAUUUGUUUUAACGGCCGCAGUAUUUUGACUGUGCAAAGGUAGCAUAAUCAUUAGUCUUUUAAUAGGGGGCUGGUAUGAAGGGUUUGACGAGGUGUUUACUGUCUCAUUUAAUUUGUAUUUAGAAUUUAACUUUUCAGUUAAAAGGCUGAAAUUGUAUUGGAAGACGAGAAGACCCUAUAGAGCUUUAUAAUUGAAAUUUUAAUUAUUUUUUGUUUAUUAUUUUUUAUUAUUAUUUUAAUUAUUUUGUUGGGGUGACAAGAAUAUAUAAUUAACUUUUUUAUUUAAUUAACAUUGAUUUAUGAUUAUUAGAUCCAUUAUUAAUGAUUGUUAGAUUAAGUUACCUUAGGGAUAACAGCGUAAUCUUCCUUCAGAGUUCAUAUUUACGGGAAGGCUUGCGACCUCGAUGUUGGAUUAAGAUAAUAAUUAGGUGUAGCCGCUUAAUAUAUAGGUCUGUUCGACCUUUAAAUUCUU